CUGUGACACCAUAAGUACGUUAGUUGUGACCGCAUGACAUUAUCUCCGAAACCCUGAACAUUACAAAUAACAAGGCCCUCUUCCCCGUGUCAUUGAUGGUCAUCUAGCAUACACAGUGAGACACCUCCCUGAGUGUUCGACCACGGGGCAUGGGUUUCCAGUACCUGGUGGACUGGGAGGGUUACGAACUGGAGGAGAGAUGCUGGGUCCCCGCUAGAGACAUCCUGGACCCAGCCCUCAUUGCCGAUCAACCGGUUAUGUGCCCAGGUUGGAACCAACAUGCAGUACCUCCAGCAGGAAGAGGCAAGAACCAUUCACCACCAGCUCAGCGACAAUAUUCAGAGCCCUGUGUGACUUUUUCAAACUUAAUGUAUUUGAAUUGUUUAAAAAAAGUGCAAAUAAAAGGAAAUGUAUGGUUUAAAUGUCUUUAAUGAUUAUUUGUUUUAACUGUUAGUGAUAAUUCCCUAAGUGUUAAUACAUUUGUGUUUGCAUCAUUAAGCCUUUAUGUAUGUGUUAUGAAUGACCAAAUGUGUCUGACUUUAUAGUAAGUACAGCGCCAUAUGAUAUAUGGCAUUUAUGUAUGUGUUAUAAAUGACCGAAGGUGUCUGACUUAAGUACAGUGUCAUGCAAUACAGACUCUUUAUGGAUGUUUUAUGAAUGACCAAAGGUGUCUCACUUCAAUCUAAGUAUUACAGGAUACUGAACAAAAUUGUAAAUAAAAUGGUGAUUAACCCUGUACUGAUUAAUGAAGGUUAUCUCAUGAUCACAGGUUACUGUAGGGUGUGAGGGCUAUUUAAAUGGGUUGAUAGACCUGCAAAACAUAUGUUGUUGUGUGGGUGAUUGUGUACUGAGGAACAUGUAUCUUGGUUCCAGAGGAAAGACACUAUCAAUUUCUUUAGUUUUGGGGGCUUUCAUCAAGGUAAGUGUUUCUUGGUAAAACGUCGUCCCUAGGCUAUUAAACACACAGCACAUAUAAGCCGGGGAUAUUAACCAUUCAAAGUUGGGCUUUGUAGGGUUGACAAUAGAAUUCUAUAGGAGUGACCUUACCGAGUAAAGUAUUUGACAUUGUCACUACUUAACACAGUCAGAAAUGCAUAAUUAUUGUUAAAUCUUGCCCAUUUCCACAAUUUAUCUUCUUAAUGAAGGACAAGUUUGAUGUGUUGGUCCACCAGACCUUCCGUUCAUUUGGGCGGAAGUGUCUGGGAAUGAGAUUAGGUGUAAUGUGACGAACAUGUCACUUUAGAGCGCAUGCCAUCCUUUAUGAAGCACAUGUUUAUAUCAUAUUCAACAUAGUGGGAUAUGUCACAUUUGACAUGAGUGAUUGUCACACAGUUAUGCCACAUUUAACCCUUUAUAAAGCAUGACAUGUGAUUAUAGAUGUUUUGUAACACAUUUAUGUAGUGCUUAUGAGGGUAUUAUGAAGGCUUUAUGAAGCCUGUAUAAGCUGAAUGUCAUUGAA